AUUGAACGCUGGCGGCAUGCCUUACACAUGCAAGCCGAACGGUAACAGGUCUUCGGAUGCUGACGAGUGGCGAACGGGUGAGUAAUACAUCGGAACGUGCCCGAUCGUGGGGGAUAACGAAGCGAAAGCUUUGCUAAUACCGCAUAAGAUCUAAGGAUGAAAGCAGGGGACCGCAAGGCCUUGCGCGAACGGAGCGGCCGAUGGCAGAUUAGGUAGUUGGUGGGAUAAAAGCUUACCAAGCCGACGAUCUGUAGCUGGUCUGAGAGGACGACCAGCCACACUGGGACUGAGACACGGCCCAGACUCCUACGGGAGGCAGCAGUGGGGAAUGUUGGACAAUGGGCGAAAGCCUGAUCCAGCCAUGCCGCGUGCAGGAUGAAGGCCUUCGGGUUGUAAACUGCUUUUGUACGGAACGAAAAGACUCUGGUUAAUACCUGGGGUCCAUGACGGUACCGUAAGAAUAAGCACCGGCUAACUACGUGCCAGCCGCCGCCGUAACAC
rnacentral:rRNA from 1 species